CAUGCAGUGGAGCGGUAAGGCUCCUUCGGGAGUACACGAGCGGCGACGGGUGAUUAACACGUGAGCAAUCUGCCCUUCACACAGGGAUAACUCCGGGAAACCGAAGCUAAUACCUGAUACGACCACUUCAGGCAUCUGAUGGUGGUGGAAAGUUCCGGUGGUGAAGGAUGAGCUCGCGGCCUAUCAGCUUGUUGGUGGGGUAACGGCCCACCAAGGCAACGACGGGUAGCCGGCCUGAGAGGGUGACCGGCCACACUGGGACUGAGACACGGCCCAGACUCCUACGGGAGGCAGCAGUGGGGAAUAUUGGACAAUGGGCGAAAGCCUGAUCCAGCAACGCCGCGUGAGGGAUGACGGCCUUCGGGUUGUAAACCUCUUUCAGCAGGGACGAAGCGCAAGUGACGGUACCUGCAGAAGAAGCACCGGCCAACUACGUGCCAGCAGCCGCG
rnacentral:rRNA from 1 species